rnacentral:rRNA from 1 species
CCUACGGGAGGCAGCAGUGGGGAAUAUUGGGCAAUGGGCGCAAGCCUGACCCAGCAACGCCGCGUGAAGGAAGAAGGCUUUCGGGUUGUAAACUUCUUUUAAGAGGGAAGAGCAGAAGACGGUACCUCUUGAAUAAGCCACGGCUAACUACGUGCCAGCAGCCGCGGUAAUACGUAGGUGGCAAGCGUUGUCCGGAUUUACUGGGUGUAAAGGGCGUGUAGCCGGGCUGACAAGUCAGAGGUGAAAUCCGGGGGCUCAACCCACGAACUGCAUUUGAAACUGUUGGUCUUGUGUAUCGGAGAGGCAGGCGGAAGUCCUAGGGUAGCGGUGAAAUGCGUAGAUAUUAGGAGGAACACCAGUGGCGAAGGCGGCCUGCUGGACGACAACUGACGGUGAGGCGCGAAAGCGUGGGGAGCAAACAGGAUUAGAUACCCGAGUAGUC